rnacentral:tRNA from 1 species
UGCGGUCGUGGCGGAAUUGGUAGACGCGCAACGUUGAGGUCGUUGUGGCCGAAAGGCCGUGGAAGUUCGAGUCUUCUCGACCGCACCAU